GACGAACCGUGCGAACGUUGUUCGGAAUCAUUGGGCGUAAAGCGCGUGUAGGCGGUCCGGUAAGUCCGCUGUGAAAGUCGGGGGCUCAACCCUCGGAUGCCGGUGGAUACUGUCGGGCUUGAGUACGGAAGAGGCGAGUGGAAUUCCUGGUGUAGCGGUGAAAUGCGCAGAUAUCAGGAGGAACACCAAUUGCGAAGGCAGCUCGCUGGGACGUUACUGACGCUGAGACGCGAAAGCGUGGGGAGCAAACAGG
rnacentral:rRNA from 1 species